UAAAAUUUUUUGACUUUUCGUCUUAUUUGAAAUUUUUUUAUGAUUAAUAUUUUUAUUCUUACCCGAUGAUAAAACAUGAAUAAUACUUUAUGCGUGACUAUUUUUUUAAUUUUCGUACAAUUUUUUUAAAUAAGACGAAGGGUCAAACGUUAGAAACGGAAAAACA
rnacentral:pre_miRNA from 1 species